GCACUUUUUCAGUUUUUGUUUUCGAUUUCUAAAAUAGUUAUGGGCUUAAAAAAGUAUGGAGUCUUUGCGAAAGUAGACCCUAAAUGGAUCAAAGAAUUGACGGAGACAUUGAAAACGUGAUACAAUUUUUGACAGGAAAGUAAAUUGAUUUAUUACACCUCUCUAUUGGUUAAUAAUUUAAGCUUCUUCUUCUAUGGCUCUACAUUCCAACUGGAACUUGGCCUGCUUUUCAACUAUUCUAUUAGCAUUUCCUCAGUUAAUAAUUGAAUGUUUUUUUAUGCCGCCUUUGCAUAAGUAUGUAUCUUGUGAACGUUUCCAACCCGAAAACAUCCAAGACCGGACCGAGAAUCAAACUCGCCAUCUCCGAAUGGAUCGUCAAUCCUCGCAAAGCUAAGCCUCCUGUUAAUUUGUGCUGUAGAUUGUUUUUCAAGAUAAGUAUAUUUUCAGUGAAUAGCGUCUAGUUUUCCGCUCUUGGGAAUGUACAGCUACAUCGCCAUAACAUUUCCAGCCAAUUUUUAAGGUACAGGUACUGAGUCAAAUAGGAACCGCAAGCAUGCGGUGCAUGCAGCAUGAACAGAAGAGAUUUUUAUCACUGCCGUCAACUAUAAAUUUAAUGAUUAAAGAAAAUAAACGAAACGAAAACCUUUACAAAUAACUCAACUAUCCAUUUGAAACUUUAUUGUAAUUAACCAUUUCCCAGCUUAUUCAAUAGAACGACACAGAAACCUUUGCAUAUAUCAGUAUUUUAUAAUCCAUAACCAUUCAAAGCAAAUAACAGCGACAGCAUCCAAAUUGUACAUUCAACGUGUUUAGAUGCUAACCUGAGCAACCAUCACGAUCGAUAUUCCCAGCACCAGUUCUCUGUAGUGGAAAAUAUAGACGACACUUGUAAAAGUAUUUAAACAAUUUUCUCAAUCAUGUUAUAGGACAACACGCCCCCAUUUCAGCCAUUAUUCUCGAUAAAGAAAUAAGAAAACCAUAACCAAUCCGAAUAGCAACCAAACGCUAACAGUAAUGAUUAAUAACAAUGAAUACCCAUUUUUAUCUGGAUGUUAGCAAUUCGCUCAGCAAACUUCUACAAAGAGAAAAAAAACACAUACACACAAAAGUAACUGUAGCCGAAGUCAUAUAAUCAUUUUAAGAAUAUAAUGAUCGAAGUUGCCAAACAAAGAAAAACUAAAAUUACAAAUCUUGAUACUACUUACGUCAAGUUAGAUAACAACAGGAUCAAUCAUUAGACAACCACAUGCAAAAGAAAGAUGGAAACCUCCGUUGUCGUUUGCAACUAGAAGGAUAUUGUUGUAAGGAAAGCGUGUGCAUUUAUUCCUUUCCCAACAUAACAAAAAUACAAACACAAUUUCUCUUAAUACCAAGAUACUGAUGGAAAAUUAUUCAGUCGAUAUUUUUUUUAUAUAAUCAACUGAAAUCAAAUGAAACUGUGCUGACGAAUGUACCGAAAAUGCGCUGUACUUAUGUGAAAUUCACACUGAACCUGACUAUAGCAAAGGAAAAAAACAAUACACAACAACUCACUCACACACUCUUGGAACGUAGAGCAUCUUUCAAAAAUACUCACACAAACACAACUACAUACACGAAUGCCUAUAUUUAUGACACGUGUGAAACAACACGUGAAAAAAAACAACAUAUUAUUAACUUUAUACAAAUAUCUGUUGUUGUUGAUAGAAUUAUUUGAGGAUUUAUUGUAGAUUUUAUUUUUUUACAAGCAAAGCUGAGGAAGAAAACUCUAUCGAUUCGUUAAAGUGAGUACUUUUAUUGUGAUGGGAAACAAAAGUUUAACGUAUAUUGAUAUGAUUAAUAGCAAAGUAUAAGUAGGGACGGAAGCGAACCUCUCGUACGUUCUAUCCCCGUAUAAGGUUAAGUGACAAAGUCAUCUUUGUAGUGUGGAACACAGACUUGGAAAGUUUAUCUUUUUACCUGCGAACCGUAAUAGAAGACGAGCGUCGGACGAAGGUCUACCUUUUCCGAAGCAACACGAAACAUUGACAUACAGCCUACAAGCGAUACAAAAACACAGUAGUUGCAGAGCGAAAACAUAACAGAUGCAAACUUAAAACCACCAUUCUACAAAUAAUCGAUAAUAACUACCGAACAAUAGUCACAUACAAGCUAAUCAGAAGAUGAGGAAAAUCUCAACGAGGCAUUGAUUUGUGGAUCGAGUGGUCGAAUAUGGAAACAACGGUAAUCCAAAGUCAUAAAUCGAUAGGUAAGUCAACACAAAAACACAAACAACAGACAAAACAAUUUAUCAGAACUAAAUGGAUGUUAGGAAGUCUUCGAAUAGUAUAGCACAUACAACAAAACCAGUAUGAACAAAGCAAAGCUAAUCGCUGAAACCAGUUAUAGAAUUUUAUUAGAAAACAACAAAAAAGCUGAUAACAAAUAACAAACAAAACGAAAAAGACAAUUGAAAAAUAGACAGCCCUGUACGAGAAUGAACAGAAAGAAAAGCUCGACAUUUGAGUGAUGGAAAACAAAAAAAAAUACAGUUAUUGAGAUAGUUCGAAAUAACAUGAUAAGAGAAAAAUAGGAAAAAUAAAUUGGAAUUCAAAACA